GCAGCAGCCGCGGUAAGACGGAGGGUGCUAGCGUUGUUCGGAAUCACUGGGCGUAAAGGGCGCGUAGGCGGCCUGUUAAGUCGGAUGUGAAAGCCCGGGGCUCAACCCCGGAACUGCAUCCGAGACUGGCAGGCUUGAGACCGGGAGAGGAGGGUGGAAUAUCCAGUGUAGAGGUGAAAUUCGUAGAUAUUGGAUGGAACACCGGUGGCGAAAGCGGCUCUCUGGCCCGGAUCUGACGCUGAGGCGCGAAAGCGUGGGGAGCAAACAGGAUUAGAUACCCCGGUAGUCCCUGUCUCUUAUAA
rnacentral:rRNA from 1 species